CUGCUGGUAAAUAUCCUUACUUUCCUGGCCAAGAACCCACUUUGCCUGGGGAUAUCGAUUUGUUGCUUCAGGUGAGGAUGUGAAGGAAAAAGAGCCGGGCCCUUCAAUUUAUCUUAUAGUUGCCAAGAAUUUGGAAUCUCUUGUCUGUCCAAUUUGGAGUUGCUCAUCAAAGAGAGCCUGCAAAAAGCCAGUGGCAGCGAUCUCCGAGUUCAUUUUAAGGUACCCUGGAUCUUCAUGAUAAUGAAUGGAAUUUCAGACAUAUAUUUCCAGGAGGCUUGCAACAACACUAGAGUAAUUGGUAUGUGAAGUAGAUCAAGGAAGAUCCUGCAAAGUUUAUCUUGAAGUAGAGGAAAAUAACUGACUUGUAAAGCUUAAUCUUGUAAAUUUUGGUAGAAACUCCAUUCCUU
rnacentral:lncRNA from 1 species